CCUACGGGCGGCAGCAGUGGGGAAUAUUGGACAAUGGGGGGAACCCUGAUCCAGCCAUGCCGCGUGUGUGAAGAAGGCCCUCGGGUUGUAAAGCACUUUCAGUGAGGAAGAACGCCUGGUGGUUAAUACCUAUCAGGAAAGACAUCACUCACAGAAGAAGCACCGGCUAACUCCGUGCCAGCAGCCGCGGUAAUACGGAGGGUGCGAGCGUUAAUCGGAAUUACUGGGCGUAAAGCGCGCGUAGGUGGCUUGAUAAGCCGGUUGUGAAAGCCCCGGGCUCAACCUGGGAACGGCAUCCGGAACUGUCAAGCUAGAGUGCAGGAGAGGAAGGUAGAAUUCCCGGUGUAGCGGUGAAAUGCGUAGAGAUCGGGAGGAAUACCAGUGGCGAAGGCGGCCUUCUGGACUGACACUGACACUGAGGUGCGAAAGCGUGGGUAGCAAACAGGAUUAGAUACCCCAGUAGUC
rnacentral:rRNA from 1 species